GACGAACGCUGGCGGCGUGCUUAACACAUGCAAGUCGAGCGGUAAGGCCCUUUCGGGGGUACACGAGCGGCGAACGGGUGAGUAACACGUGGGUGACCUGCCCUCAGCUCUGGGAUAAGCCUGGGAAACUGGGUCUAAUACUGGAUAUGACUCCACGGUGCAUGUCGUGGGGUGGAAAGCCUUGUGCGGCUGAGGAUGGGCCCGCGGCCUAUCAGCUUGUUGGUGGGGUGANGGCCUACCAAGGCGACGACGGGUAGCCGGCCUGAGAGGGCGACCGGCCACACUGGGACUGAGACACGGCCCAGACUCCUACGGGAGGCAGCAGUGGGGAAUCUUGCGCAAUGGGCGAAAGCCUGACGCAGCGACACCGCGUGAGGGAUGACGGCCUCGG
rnacentral:rRNA from 1 species